rnacentral:lncRNA from 1 species
AGCAGCUGCCUUCUGUCUUUUGCAGUAGGCGGUGACCUUUUAUCUCACGGGGCCCUUUAUGAAACCCACCAGUCCCUGGAGAUUGUGGACUAGGCUGGAUAUCCCUCAGGGUAGCCAUGUAGCUCUGAACUGCUGGAAACUGGCCGCCUAGGGAGAAUGGCAGAAGGCUUCGAGUGGCUAUACACAGGCUUCUCCUAGCCUGAAGCUACCCAAGUGGACAGUAACACGCCCCCUCUCCACCCACAUACACUAACCCCAUACAGGGCCAGUACUCCAUGAGCCAGCAGUGGCGACCACCUGCCUAUCUCUUAACCCCUCCCCCUGCAUAUUUGAAUGUAGAGGUUGGGUUGAACUUCCCCCUCCCUGGGUUGGGGUGAAGAUGUGCCUCAACCUCUGGUGUGGACACUUGUGCAGUGCCACAGUUGAGCCCAUUUGGCCCACGUGGUUCUCAUCUGGUAAGAUGGUGAUCUUAUUGCCAAGUUCCUUCCACCUCCUGCCUACCGAGGAAGUAGCUCGGUGUCAGCGAGGUGGUAUCGAUUUUGCUUUAUAAAUGGCGGGCCAGACCUGGCCACCAGGUCUUUGCGCAAGACCGCUUCCUUUGCACACAGAAUGAGCUACGAGCUUUGUUCAGACGACCUGAAUGUAUUGGGAGGAAUUGGGCAUAGGCCUUCCCCCGGGGGGAGUGCGAUGGGAAGAGUAAGCAGGUGUAGGCUGCAGUUUUAUUUUUGUACUGAUAUUGGUAAAAGACUGUAUAGCAUCUAUUUAUUUAGAUGAUUUAUCUGAUAGAUGAGGCAAAAAUUAUUAAAAAAUACAUUAAAAUGUCUUUAG